GCGGGCGUAGCUCAACCGGUAGAGCAACGGCCUCCAAAACCGUGUGUUGCGGGUUCAAUUCCUGCCGCCCGUGC
rnacentral:tRNA from 1 species